rnacentral:tRNA from 1 species
GGAGAAAUACUCAAGUGGUUAAAGAGGCAUGCUUGGAAAGCGUGUAGUUCUUAAUAGAUGCGAGGGUUCGAAUCCCUCUUUCUCCA